rnacentral:misc_RNA from 1 species
AAGUCGUAACAAGGUUUCCGUAGGUGAACCUGCGGAAGGAUCAUUAACGAGUUUUGAAAGCGAGAGUCUGUGUAGCUGGUGCGGAAACGUGCAUGUGCUCGGCUUUUCGUGCUCAAUCCACUCAACCCCUGUGCACCUUUGCGAAGCUAUAGUAGUCUUUUCUUUUCUUUCUGGCCGUGUCCUGAACCGUGGUCAAAAGCGGUUUUGUUGGCUGGAUUAGAGAAGUGGGGGACGAACGCUUCGAGUUUUACUACAAACUACUUGUAUGUCUUGUGGAAUGUAAUGCUCCUCUGUGGGCGAAAUUAUAAUACAACUUUCAACAACGGAUCUCUUGGCUCUC